rnacentral:rRNA from 1 species
GUGAACGCUGGCGGUAGGCCUAACACAUGCAAGUCGAACGGCAGCACAGUAAGAGCUUGCUCUUACGGGUGGCGAGUGGCGGACGGGUGAGGAAUACAUCGGAAUCUACUUUUUCGUGGGGGAUAACGUAGGGAAACUUACGCUAAUACCGCAUACGACCUACGGGUGAAAGCAGGGGAUCUUCGGACCUUGCGCGAUUGAAUGAGCCGAUGUCGGAUUAGCUAGUUGGCGGGGUAAAGGCCCACCAAGGCGACGAUCCGUAGCUGGUCUGAGAGGAUGAUCAGCCACACUGGAACUGAGACACAGUCCAGACUCCUACGGGAGGCAGCAGUGGGGAAUAUUGGACAAUGGGCGCAAGCCUGAUCCAGCCAUACCGCGUGGGUGAAGAAGGCCUUCGGGUUGUAAAGCCCUUUUGUUGGGAAAGAAAAGCAGCAGGUUAAUACCCCGCUGUUCUGACGGUACCCAAAGAAUAAGCACCGGCUAACUUCGUG